rnacentral:sRNA from 1 species
GUCAGCAAGUUCUGCAAGUAUGAGCAUGAUGACAUUGUGUCUACAGUCAGUGUCUUGAGCUCUGGCACACAAGCUGUCAGUGGUAGCAAAGACAUCUGCAUCAAGGUUUGGGACCUUGCUCAGCAGGUGGUACUGAAUUCAUACCGAGCUCAUGCUGCUCAGGUCACUUGUGUUGCUGCCUCUCCUCACAAGGACUCUGUGUUUCUUUCAUGCAGUGAGGACAAUAGAAUUUUACUCUGGGAUACCCGCUGUCCCAAGCCAGCAUCACAGAUUGGGUGCAGUGCGCCUGGCUACCUUCCUACCUCACUGGCUUGGCAUCCUCAGCAAAGUGAAGUCUUUGUCUUUGGUGAUGAGAAUGGGACAGUCUCCCUUGUGGACACCAAGAGUACAAGCUGUGUCCUGAGCUCAGCUGUACACUCCCAGUGUGUCACUGGGCUGGUGUUCUCCCCACACAGUGUUCCCUUCCUGGCCUCUCUCAGUGAAGACUGCUCACUUGCUGUGCUGGACUCAAGCCUUUCUGAGUUCAUUUCUUCAUCUAUGAAAAUAGAGGACUGGAUUGGAUGACUGAUAACAUCCACUGUGGAUAGCUACACUGCUAUCCUGGCGAUGAGGCCAUACAGUUGGUGAAAUGUUUAGAAGCCAAGCCCACAGAGACUUUGUGAGAGAUGCGACUUGGUCCCCGCUCAAUCACUCCCUGCUUACCACAGUGGGCUGGGACCAUC